rnacentral:rRNA from 1 species
CCUACGGGGGGCAGCAGUAGGGAAUCUUCCACAAUGGACGAAAGUCUGAUGGAGCAACGCCGCGUGAGUGAUGAAGGUUUUCGGAUCGUAAAACUCUGUUGUAAGGGAAGAACAAGUGCGUUAGGUAAUGAACGCACCUUGACGGUACCUUAUUAGAAAGCCACGGCUAACUACGUGCCAGCAGCCGCGGUAAUACGUAGGUGGCAAGCGUUGUCCGGAUUUAUUGGGCGUAAAGCGCGCGCAGGUGGUUUCUUAAGUCUGAUGUGAAAGCCCACGGCUCAACCGUGGAGGGUCAUUGGAAACUGGGAGACUUGAGUGCAGAAGAGGAUAGUGGAAUUCCAAGUGUAGCGGUGAAAUGCGUAGAGAUUUGGAGGAACACCAGUGGCGAAGGCGACUGUCUGGUCUGUAACUGACACUGAGGCGCGAAAGCGU